UGCGUAGGCGGAUUAAUAAGUCAGUGGUGAAAUCUUUCGGCUCAACCGAGAAACUGCCAUUGAUACUGUUAAUCUUGAGUUCGGUUGAGGUAGGCGGAAUGUGUAAUGUAGCGGUGAAAUGCCUAGAUAUUACACAGAACACCAAUUGCGUAGGCAGCUUACUAGACCGACACUGACGCUGAGGCACGAAAGCGUGGGGAGCGAACAGGAUUAGAUACCCUGGUAGUCC
rnacentral:rRNA from 1 species